CGAGGAGAUCCGGCUGCCCAAUCCACACAUCAAACAGCAAACCUUCGAGCAGGGAAGAUUUUCUCUUACCUUGACUGGCUUUAUUUGCCAGCGUGUUUCCAGAGUGGAGGAGAAAGAAAAGGAUGGAAAAUCCAGCAAUCUGCAAAGCUCCCAUUGCAAUCCCAGUCUGCAGGGAGGAGCGGGGGCAAGAAGGGGGAUUUCUAGUGCUUUAAAGGAAACAAGGGGCUGAGCAUGCGAAGGAAAAUCAAGGGGAGGAAGGGGCUCUCUCCUUGCCGUGUGUGAGACAGAGGGAGGGAAGGGAACUGAACUGAUGGAAAAAGCUGCUCUGGGUUCAGUUUGGGGCUCUUGGUGCUGCUGAAGAGGAGAGAGCGAGGGAGGGAGACCCAGGGCAGUUGGAGGAAAGUGGACUCUAUCGCCCUCUCUCUGGCGGCUGCUCUGAUCCCUUCUCCUCCUUUUUUUUUCCCUUAAAUAAUCCCAGCCAAUUCCAGUUUUGCAAGAGCAGCAGCAGCAGGAGCAGGAGCAGCAGUGCUGGAGGGGGGAAGCAGGCGCCUUGCCCUGGUGCUGGGGACCUGGGAAAGGGGAGUGGAAAGGAGAGCCCCAUCCAAGCAACGCCCUUUUUCUCUCUCCCAGCCUUUCUUUCUUUCUUUCUAUUUGGCUUUGGUUACUCCUUCACGGCUCCCCCCCUCGCACCCCCAAGGCUGGGCUUUGCCUGCAGGAAUUUACAGUCUGCGCUGAAGGAGAAGGGCCAGUAGCCAUGGAGACUGCUUCCCUGGGAGCAGGGAGGACCUUCUCACAGCCCAGCCCCCUGCAGCUGGGGGCACCCCAGGGAGGCAGGGGGACCCCUGCCCUACCCCGUGACUGUCCUUGUGCUGGGAGCUGCUGGCACCAUCUCUCUUCCGGGGUGUUCCCGCUCCCUGAGCCAGGAGAGGCAUCACCAGCCAGGAAACUGCAGCAGGAGGUAAGGCUGGGAUCCAGGAGCGGGAUCGGGAAGAAGGUGUGCAGUGAUUCACCUGUCCAGGUACACGGGGUCCGACAGCCCCAGUGGUCAUCCUGCCCAUGGGCUCCCUCCCAGGCCACUGUGCUGCCCCUACACCCUCCCAAACCCCCUUUAGUCCUAAUAACCCCUAAAGAUACGACAAAGGGGGCUGGAGGCAGUGGGAAAUGUCCAGCUAAGCCAAGGCACCCACGGUGGAGAGGAGGGACCACAGCUGGACAGGAGGACGCUGAGGAGUCCCUGGGUCUUUCCCUACAAAAACACCCCCUCCCUGGGCUGCCCUCAUGGGACAGGGACCUUCCCUUUGGGAGGGGGUUUGCAGGAGCACACCAGUAA
rnacentral:lncRNA from 1 species